GGACCCGCGUCUCUAGGGGCAGCCGCUUGUGGACAGACGAUUGAAGGCUGCAGUUAGGAAAGCUUAGCAAUGCAGGUCCCUCCGGGCCACCCUCAGACGCGUGCAGUCCCAUCGUGGGAGACGCCCCCGAUGAGCCCCCCGGAAUCGCAGUACCCCCAUCGCACGGGCGCCGUGGAGGCAGUUGGUUGCUGCACCUCCUGGUUUUUCAGCUUUCGUGACUACCGACGUCUGUGGCUACCCAUCUUGGCGGUGCUCUUGUGGCUUGGCACGGCUCGCCGCUGGCCCAUCUGCGGCGGGAGCUAGAUAAACUGCAUCCCAGGAGGGCAGCACCAGGCUCCCGUCCAGCGUGGCCUCUAUGCUAUCUUCACAAGCACUCCUUGGAGACACCGGCUCCCAUCGUGGUGAAAACCAUGCCUCUAGGUAAAACGGGAAAGCUCCACCAUCAUCCCUGAAGAGGAGAGGGCCUCUGAGGCAGCCUGGCUGGGGUUUUGGGGAUAAAUUCAGAGGCGCUGGGAACCCGAAUGCCGUGAGGAUGGAUCAAUACCAUCAGCGGCAAAUGUGUGGCAGGCUCUCGGUGCAACCUGAGGUCUUUCCUGGGACGUUUUCACGGCUUUACUCUGAACAAGAUCUGUCUACACCACUCACAGGUCGUCCUCACUGUAAAGAUUCCACGCCCAUGUCCUUGUCCAAACUCAGAGGUCCUGAUCAACAAGGACCACACAGGACAUUGUCUGUGUCACCCCAGCCUUUCACCCAAGGGUGUUCAUGUGAUAGGGCCUCAAUCAUCGCCAGCCACGUGGCAGGGACCAGGGGCAAGGAAAAGACUCUGCUGUGCCCUUGCUGCCAAAGAACUCAAAAUUCACCGUCUGUUGGACAUUUGCAAGCAGGUGUUUAAAAAGUAUGUUGCCUGCAUGUGAGCAGGCUCUGGGGCUGGGCUGAGCCUCAGCCCACUCUAGGAGCUGAGUUGAUCCGCACAAGAACGGCCAGACCUGGCACCCGCUGUCCUCAGAGCUCUGCUUCCCGGACAAGGUGAUUUUAGCACCUUAGCCGGAGAUGGCAAAGAGGCGGAGCCAUUUGUUGCUCCCAGAAGUGAUUCUCAGAGCAGUAAUUGAACUUGCUGAAGGUGAAAAGGGGAAAAUUGAGGCUGACGGGACACGUGAUUUACCCAGACUGGUCAGGGCCGUCAUGUUCUCUCACCUCCAGGGAGCUGUCAGCCUCCUACAAAACCCAACGGUGGGAGAGACCUCCACCACUACUGGGGCAGACGGGUAGGAAUCUACACACUGUUUCUGGACUUGUGAAGUGGGAGUGAUGACUACGUUCCAGGGCCAUUGGGAGGAUUCCGUGAGGCUGCGCCGUUAGCAAAUGUCAUAAUUUACGGGACCCUCUUCCACAAUAAUCCAUCCUAUUCCAGGAACUCUGUACCAAGGCAAGUCUGAGGUCAGCCAAACAUCACUCAGGAGGGAUCAGAUGAUUAAAAAUCUCACAAGGAAACCAGAAGGCUAUAUUAAUUCUCACAGUAACUACUGGGUGUACGAACGUAAGUAAUAAAAACCUUUCCAUUGUUAAUGUUACAAAUACAGGAAGUACUUGACACAUGUCGAUAAGGCUCCCUGAAGCUUUGAGUUUGGGAGUCAGAAUUAUAAGACUCAAGAGAUUGUUUGUUUGUUUGUUUUUUUUUUUUUUUUUUGACAGGCAGAGUGGACAGUGAGAGAGAGAGACAGAGAGAAAGGUCUUCCUUUUGCCGUUGGUUCACCCUCCAAUGGCCGCCGCGGCUGGCGCUGCGGCUGGCACACCACGCUGAUCCGAUGGCAGGAGCCAGGAGCCAGGUGCUUCUCCUGGUCUCCCAUGGGGUGCAGGGCCCAAGCACCUGGGCCAUCCUCCACUGCACUCCCUGGCCACAGCAGAGGGCUGGCCUGGAAGAGGGGCAACCGGGACAGAAUCCGGCGCCCCGACCAGGACUAGAACCCGGUGUGCCGGCGCCGCUAGGCGGAGGAUUAGCCUAGUGAGCCGCGGCGCCGGCCGGAGAUUGUUUCUUUAAACUUCAGCAAGUCCUUUGCGCUUGCUAGAAUCUCUCUGGAUUUCUGUGUGAACACAGGAAGCACAGAUCUCCACCCUUUUCAUGUGGUGUUGCUUCCAAAAGCGGAACUGGAUUUAAGCGCCUGUUUGAAUUGAAGGCAACAGCUAUUAAAAACUCUUCAGAAGGUAUGCCUGAUGCAUUUACUCCCGUGACCUUUUGACGCCUUCUACCUGUGGUCAAUAAUUAUGCCUCAGCUGUUUAUAGAGCUUUGUGAAGCAGUGAACAUGUAUCGAUUGUUGCACAACAACGUCAUAAGAUAGUUGCUAAUAUAAUCCUACUUCAGAGAUGGGAAAAGCAAGGCAGGAAGACUAAGACGGGUUAGGCUUUAUAGCAGCAAUACCUGAAGUUUUAGAUCAAAGAUGUGAGUGCUUCUUUCUCUGGGACUUCUGACAUUAAAUUGUACUUUAUUUCUAUUCAAAUUAAACAUUUCAUUAGAGAGGUAAGUGUCUGGGAGGUUAUGUACAGAGAGCUCUUGACUAGUUGAAAAUGCACAAAGUAAGUGCGCGUGUAGCAUGAAGAGGACGUGAGUGACCAAACCAAGUGGCUGCCUGGGAUGGGUCUUAGGGAAGCAGCCUCUGUGUCAUUUUGUGCCCACUGUGUCCAGGUUCUCCGUUGUCUUAGCGUCCCCUGGAGCUGGAGGGCUCGUUUGCUUUGAUGGCAACAUCAGAUGCAUCACUGGCUUGUCUGUAAUGAUAAACCUUUUAUCUCAGAAGACUUAAGAAUGAAACCGGGGGCCCUGCUGUAACUGCCAGGGCAGAGCUGGCGUGUUGGGGAGACGUGCACGUGGGGUAUGCAACCGAGGGCACGGGAUCACGACUUCAUCAUUCCUGAGCAGCUGACGCGCACCGUUUUAGAACCAAUCCCUCGAGACAGACAUUCGGCACAGCAGGCAGGACACAGCUUGGGAAGCCCACAUGCCAUAUUGGAGUGCCUGGGCGCGAGCCUGGCUCCAUUCCCGAUUCCAGCUUCCUGCAGGGCGAUGGAUGAAGGCUCCAGUGCUUGGGCUCCUGCACCCGUGUGGGAGAGUGAUAAGGAGUUCCAAGCUCCUGGCUUCAGCCUGCCCCAUUCCUGGCCACUUGGGACAUUUGUAGAAUAAACCAACAGAUGAAAGAUUCUCUCUCUCUCUCUCUCUCUCUCUCCCUCCCUCUGUGCCUUUCAAACACAUUUUUAAAAUAAAGGAAUCAAUCUUUCUUCUGAAAAUGGAGGUCAUAAAUAUUGCUUGGAUAAAAAGACUGUUUUGUGAGUGACGAGUUAAGCUGGAAGCCAGGCAAGUGGUAGAUGUUAUGUGAACACCUGUUUAAUAAACGUUUGAAAGUCAAGUUCCCUGUACUCUGGGAGAAGGUAAGGGUGAUAGUCCUUAAUGUCCAUAAUGGCGAGGGGGGUUUCAGGAUGAGCAGACUUACCAAGCUGGUGUAGAAAAGAUAAGCUGAGCUUAGCAGAAAGUUUAGAAGGGAUUUUGCUAUCACAAAAAGCUUGCAGGGAAUGGUGACACCUUGGGCUCUUGGGGUCACCUAUAGCUUUGCAGCCAGUGCUAGGAGUGUCCGGCAGUGCCAGGGAGUUGAGGGCUGACGGGCGUGGGCUGCCAGUGAGGAGAGCCUGUGCGUGCACAGUGCAAAGGGGACUGAGUGCAUGGCCAGGCAAUGAGCAGUCCUGGAGGGGGAGGCACCUGCUUGGAUACGGGCUUCAGAGGUGAGGACACUCACCUCCCAUUCUGCACCAGAACGAGGGGCACCAGAGAGGAACUGAACUUGCUGGACAUUCGUAUGCUGUAAAUGCGUUUGCGAGGAAAACAUAGGAGCUAGAGCCGGCACGCACCUGGUUUUGUUUUGUUUUGUUUUUCCAAGCAUUACAUCUCGUCUCAGGAUGAAGACCACGGGGAGACGUGAGGCUGGCCUCUGUAAGUCCUUGGUGAAAACGUCUCACAUUCUUGUGAGACCAUGAAGAACCAUGAGGAAAAGUUUGGAGAUGCAGGGAAAUUGUGACCGGCGGGACACAUGCUUCUAGAGCGCCCAUGAGUGGCUGCUCCAGGGAUCAGUGCAGACAAACCAAAGGGUCAUGGUCUGACUUCUGGAGUCCCUAUCAUAUCUGCAAGUUGGCAGGACCGUGUACUGACCACCUGUCUGUACGGUGCUGGCUAUCACCGGUAGCCUGGACGCUAUGUGUAGGACCAAGCUCCGAAACGAUGGCUACAGCAGGAGUUCCGUUUGGGAAGACAGCAAGUUCCGGAGAUGAGUGGUGGUGAAAGCAGCACCACAAUGUGGAUGGAUUGAACGCCAGGUUCGGCUAAAAUGGUGAGGAUGGUAAAUUUUUUUGCUAAAUACACUUCACCAAAAUAUAAAAAUACAAAAAAAAAAGUCAUGGCAAAAAGAAAUCGAUUUAGUAUAUGCAAAUAAAUUUUGGAGGAGCGGCUAAGAGCCACAGUCA